GAUACGACCGUACCGCAAACCGACACUGGUGCGCGAGAUGAGUAUUCUAAGGCGCUUGAGAGAACUCAGGAGAAGGAACUCGGCAAAUUGACACCGUAACUUCGGAAGAAGGUGUGCCCUAUUAGUGUGUAGUGAACAACGAAGCAUGAAUGGGUUGCAAAAAAUCGGUGGCUGCGACUGUUUAUUAAAAACACAGCACUCUGCAAACACGAAAGUGGACGUAUAGGGUGUGACGCCUGCCCGGUGCUGGAAGAUUAAAUGAUGGGGUGCAAGCUCUUGAUUGAAGUCCCAGUAAACGGCGGCCGUAACAAUAACGGUCCUAAGGUAGCGAAAUUCCUUGUCGGGUAAGUUCCGACCUGCACGAAUGGCGUAACGAUGGCCACACUGUCUCCUCCUGAGACUCAGCGAAGUUGAAAUGUUUGUGAUGAUGCAAUCUCCCCGCGGAAAGACGGAAAGACCCCAUGAACCUUUACUGUAGCUCUGUAUUGGACUUUGAACAGAUCUGUGUAGGAUAGGUGGGAGGCUUUGAAGCAGGGUCGCUAGAUCUUGUGGAGCCAACGUUGAAAUACCACCCUGGUGUGUUUGAGGUUCUAACCUAGGUCCAUUAUCUGGAUCGGGGACCGUGCAUGGUAGGCAGUUUGACUGGGGCGGUCUCCUCCCAAAGCGUAACGGAGGAGUUCGAAGGUACGCUAGUUACGGUCGGACAUCGUGACGAUAGUGCAAUGGCAUAAGCGUGCUUAACUGCGAGACUGACAAGUCGAGCAGAUGCGAAAGCAGGACAUAGUGAUCCGGUGGUUCUGUAUGGAAGGGCCAUCGCUCAACGGAUAAAAGGUACUCUGGGGAUAACAGGCUGAUACCGCCCAAGAGUUCAUAUCGACGGCGGUGUUUGGCACCUCGAUGUCGGCUCAUCUCAUCCUGGGCUGUAGCCGGUCCCAAGGGUAUGGCUGUUCGCCAUUUAAAGAGGUACGUGAGCUGGGUUCAAAACGUCGUGAGACAGUUUGGUCCCUAUCUUCCGUGGGCGCUGCAGAUUUGAGGAAGCCUGCUCCUAGUACGAGAGGACCGGAGUGGAUACACCUCUGGUGUAUCGGUUGUCACGCCAGUGGCAUUGCCGAGUAGCUAAGUGUGGAAGAGAUGACCGCUGAAAGCAUCUAAGCGGGAAACUCGUUUCAAGAUGAGAUCUGCCGGGGCCUUGAGCCCCCUAAAGAGUCGUUCAAGACCAGGACGUUGAUAGGUCAGGUGUGGAAGCG
rnacentral:rRNA from 1 species